AUGAAGGAGAUUCAUCUAAAGAAGAGGAAGAUGUUCAUCAAGGAAGGAGAGGUAAUCUUGGAGCAAGACCGCCACGACAACAUGUUGUUCAACGUGCUUCAAGAAGGCCAAUUUAUGUUGAGGCUUCUGAAGGUGAAGAAUAUGAUGAUGCCCUUGAAGAGCCAAAUCUCUACGCAUAUCGGAGAGCACCCAACCCUACAUAUGCAAGAGACAUACAAGGUGAAAGCUGAGAUCCCAAGUUUUAAUGGAAAUGUUGACAUUGAAGGGUGCCUGGAUUGGUUAUAUGAAGUGGAGACUUUCUUUGAGGUCAUGGAGGUUCCGGAAGAUCGUAGAGUUCCUUUGGUCGCAUACAAACUGAAAGGAGGAGCCGGUGCAUGGUGGCAUCGCGUUCAAGAGGAGCGCAGGCUCAGAGGAGAACCUCGUGUUAGAACUUGGCGACAAAUGAAAGGCCUCUUGAAAGGGAGAUUUUUGCCCGCUGAUUAUGACCAGAUCAUAUUUAUCCAAUUUCAAAAUUGUGCUCAAGGAAAUAGGACUGUUUCAGAUUACACGGAGGAGUUUCUAAGGCUACAAGUGAGGUGCAACCUUGCUGAAACUGAAGAGCAACAAGUUGCAAGGUACAUUAAUGGUCUCAAUGAUGCUAUUCAAGAUCGAUUGAUGAUGCAACAAAUCUGGUCCGUUGAUCAAGCACAAGCUCUAGCCUUAAAGGCCGAGAGGUUUGUGAGGAUGAGAAAGACAACUAAGGCUCCAUAUCCUCCAUAUCCUCAUACCGAAGGCUCAUCUAGGAGCCAACCUAAUAGAGUGGAAGAAAAGACCACUCCACCAAAGACAAAACAGCCCAUCCCGAAGCAAACUAGAGGCAAGGGUAAGGCAAAUGAAGGCCCAAAGUGCUAUAAAUGUGGUAAAGAGGGACACAUAUCCAGCGGCUGCCCACUAAGGAAAUUUGUUAACACGACUAUCCAUGAUGGUGAAAGCGAUAAGAAUACGAAUCUGAAGAUGUAG
rnacentral:rRNA from 1 species